UGGGCACAAGACGCCUGAACCUGGUA
rnacentral:piRNA from 1 species